CUGCUCAACCUUCAGCAGCACAUAUACUAAAAUUGGAAUGAUACAGAGAAGAUUAGCGUGGCCUCUACGUAAGGAUGACAUGCAAAUUCAUGACGUGUUCCACGAGGCA
rnacentral:snRNA from 1 species